rnacentral:ncRNA from 2 species
GAUUUAUAAAGAAGAGGCGAGAGAACAGGCUCCAAGACCCUCUGGCAACCAUCCAACCAUAUGGAAAGGUGCCAAAACCUGCCCAAAACGGGAACUAUAAAUU